rnacentral:rRNA from 1 species
CAGUCGCCGCGGUAAUACGAAGGGUGCAAACGUUGCUCGGAAUUAUUGGGCGUAAAGCGCACGUAGGCGGCCCCGCAAGUCGGAUGUGAAAUCCCUCGGCUUAACCAAGGAAGUGCAUCCGAAACUGCAGAGCUUGAGUACUUAAGAGGAUCGCGGAAUUCCCGGUGUAGAGGUGAAAUUCGUAGAUAUCGGGAGGAACACCAGUGGCGAAGGCGGCGAUCUGGGAAGAUACUAACGCUGAGGUGUGAAAGCGUGGGGAGCGAACAGGAUUAGAUACUCGCGUAGUCCCUGUCUCUUAUAC